rnacentral:miRNA from 1 species
UGCUGUCCAGUCUUAAUCUACA